GACAACCCCAUGGGAGAAUCCGGCCGCGCAGGCUGCCGGUGCCGAAGGAGCAACCGCCCCGGUAAACUCUCAGGCAAAAGGACCGUGGGGCGUCU
rnacentral:ncRNA from 1 species